rnacentral:rRNA from 1 species
UACGUAGGGUGCGAGCGUUAAUCGGAAUUACUGGGCGUAAAGCGUGCGCAGGCUGUUUUGUAAGUCAGAUGUGAAAUCCCCGAGCUCAACUUGGGAACUGCGUUUGAAACUACAAGACUAGAAUAUGUCAGAGGGGGGUAGAAUUCCACGUGUAGCAGUGAAAUGCGUAGAUAUCUGGAGGAAUACCGGUGGCGAAGGCGGCAUCCUGGACCGAGAUUGACACUGAUGAGCGAAAGCGUGGGGAGCGAACAGG